rnacentral:lncRNA from 1 species
AGAAACGGGAUCAUCUUAGGGAAGUCACUGACUUCCUCAUGUCUACAUGGAUAAGAAGAUUCAAGUCAGGUUGAGAGUUCAGGUUUGCAGCCUCAGGGAAAAGCUGCAGACAACCUCAUCAACGAGAGUUCAUUUUUCAAAAAGUGCAUUUCUGCAGUCGCGAAUGACUUCACUCAGGAUACAAGAGGACGGCUCAAUAUAGAACUUCGGCAGCUCCCAAUCCAUCCUCGAGUUUCCUUCGAGUUUACUUCCAGCUGUGCUAUGGUUAGAACAUCAGCGAGUGUUAUUACAAUGGACUAAAGAACGAAUUCGUUUA